rnacentral:rRNA from 1 species
GUACACGCUGUGACUAGCAUAUCAAUAAGCGGAGGAAAAGAAACUAACAAGGAUUCCCCUAGUAACGGCGAGUGAAGCGGGAAGAGCUCAAAUUUGAAAUCUUAAAGGGUUUCCCUUUACGAAUUGUAGUUUAAAGAAGUGUUUUCUGUUGAGGUUUUGGUAAAAGUUCUUUGGAAUAGGACAUCAUAGAGGGUGAGAAUCCCGUAUUUGACCUUUACUUUCAACUUUGUGAUACACUUUCAAAGAGUCGGAUUGUUUGGGAAUGCAGUCCAAAAUGGGUGGUAAAUUUCAUCUAAAGCUAAAUAUUGGCGAGAGACCGAUAGCGAACAAGUACCGUGAGGGAAAGAUGAAAAGAACUUUGAAAAGAGAGUUAAACAGUACGUGAAAUUGUCAAAAGGGAAGCGUUUGACACCAGUGUUGUUUUUCUGAGAAAUCAAUUAAAGAACUGUUUAUGCUAAGCUGUUUAGACUUUAUCAGCUAUCUGUUUAGUUUUGAGCUUUUCUUUAAUGCACUUUUCAGUUAACAAGUCAACAUCAAUUUCUUUUGCUGUAAAAAAGCUUGAGGAAGGUGGCUUGAGAUUCGUCUUAAGUGUUUAUAGCCUCUUGCCUAUGCAGUCGGAGAGAUUGAGGUCUGCAGCGUAGAUCCUUCGGGGCUAAAUGCAUUUGUGCUAAGUUAUAGCAUUUUAUAGACAACUUGUUGACUAUGAUUUGUCUUGUAGCUUACUCGCUUAUGUUAUUUUACCUACGCUUAGGAUGUUGAAGAUGUAGCACAUCAU